UAAUUACCUCGUAAGACUGAUUGCCCGUGUCACUUUUUGUUUCUCAUAUAUUCCUUCAAUUGUAUCUCUUCGAGCUGCCCUAGCGUGAAGCCCUAAUCGCGAGCUCGGCAUAAUCUCCCCUCCCUUCUCUACUUACCCUUAAUCUCCAACAUCCUCGAACCUCAAUAUCCAGAUCGUCGAAUCACAAAGAGGAGAGAUGCAGAAAGAACCGAUGGUCUCGCAGAUCGACUCGCGAACGCGUCAAGAUGAGCACAUAUAGAUUGACGAGUACUUAGAAUUGAAGCAGAAAGUAGGAAGGAAAGUCUGAGGUAUUACUAUGACGUUCUUUAAAAGUUAACUUUUAUUUUUCCUGUCUCUUUUUGAUGGUUCUGAUGAGCGCAUAGCGCAGGAGUACUUAGAGAAUUGAAGCAGAUAGUGGAAGCAAAGUUUGAGGUAUUACCUCGACCUUCUUUAAAAAUUAACUAUUAGUGACAGUAGAUGCUGUAACUAUACUCCAGGCCAUUUUUCGUAAAUUAUGAUAGUUAUUGUGCAAAGUGAUGUCAAGUUAUUUCAGCACAUAGAGAUGGUAUAAUUUUUGGAAUAAUUUGAGGACUAGGAAGAUGCAAAAUAAUUUUCUGCAAGUUUUUGUAUAAUGCUACAUAAAAGUUUUCAAUCUGCUAAAAUUUUCAUGGGUAUAUCCGUAUAUGUAAACCACUGGAAUAAGUUUUAUAUAAACUUUCUUGCAAACAUUUUUCCCCAGAAAA